rnacentral:rRNA from 1 species
UGGGGAAUAUUGGACAAUGGGCGAAAGCCUGAUCCAGCCAUGCCGCGUGUGUGAAGAAGGUCUUCGGAUUGUAAAGCACUUUAAGUUGGGAGGAAGGGCAGUAAAUUAAUACUUUGCUGUUUUGACGUUACCGACAGAAUAAGCACCGGCUAACUCUGUGCCAGCAGCCGCGGUAAUACAGAGGGUGCAAGCGUUAAUCGGAAUUACUGGGCGUAAAGCGCGCGUAGGUGGUUCGUUAAGUUGGAUGUGAAAUCCCCGGGCUCAACCUGGGAACUGCAUUCAAAACUGACGAGCUAGAGUAUGGUAGAGGGUGGUGGAAUUUCCUGUGUAGCGGUGAAAUGCGUAGAUAUAGGAAGGAACACCAGUGGCGAAGGCGACCACCUGGACUGAUACUGACACUGAGGUGCGAAAGCGUGGGGAGCAAACAGGAUUAG